UGGGGAAUUUUGGACAAUGGGCGCAAGCCUGAUCCAGCCAUGCCGCGUGCGGGAAGAAGGCCUUCGGGUUGUAAACCGCUUUUGUCAGGGAAGAAAUCUUCUGAGUUAAUACCUCGGGAGGAUGACGGUACCUGAAGAAUAAGCACCGGCUAACUACGUGCCAGCAGCCGCGGUAAUACGUAGGGUGCAAGCGUUAAUCGGAAUUACUGGGCGUAAAGCGUGCGCAGGCGGUUUUGUAAGACAGAGGUGAAAUCCCCGGGCUCAACCUGGGAACUGCCUUUGUGACUGCAAGGCUUGAGUGCGGCAGAGGGGGAUGGAAUUCCGCGUGUAGCGUGAAAUGCGUAGAUAUGCGGAGGAACACCGAUGGCGAAGGCAAUCCCCUGGGCCUGCACUGACGCUCAUGCACGAAAGCGUGGGGAGCAAACAGGAUUAGAUACCCUGGUAGUCCACGCCCUAAACGAUGUCAACUGGUUGUUGGGAAGGUUCCUUCUCAGUAACGUAGCUAACGCGUGAAGUUGACCGCCUGGGGAGUACGGCCGCAAGGUUGAAACUCAAAUGAAUUGACGGGGU
rnacentral:rRNA from 1 species